rnacentral:rRNA from 1 species
UACGAAGGGGGCUAGCGUUGUUCGGAAUUACUGGGCGUAAAGCGUGCGCAGGCGGCUUCUCAAGUCAGGGGUGAAAGCCCAGAGCUCAACUCUGGAAUUGCCUUUGAGACUGAGUAGCUUGAGUACGAGAGAGGUGAGUGGAAUUCCCAGUGUAGAGGUGAAAUUCGUAGAUAUUGGGAAGAACACCGGUGGCGAAGGCGGCUCACUGGCUCGUAACUGACGCUCAUGCACGACAGCGUGGGGAUCAAACAGG